rnacentral:lncRNA from 1 species
GUCCUUCUCCAUGGUGCGCUGGUGCUCGGCGAAGGCGAUGGCCACGAACUCGAUCACCAGGAUGGUGGGCAGCGAGCCCCACGGCACCGGGUUGCCCAGGUACGUGGCCUGGCCGCCGGGGACGGCCGCCCACUCCUGCGCCUUCACCCAGUUGCCAAGGCCCAGCGCCUCCGGCACCAAGAUCCCGGGCUGCGCAACCCAAACAAACAAUUGCAGAGGUCAGCUAGCUGGUCCGUGCCACGGCGUCACCAUGUUAGCAAGUAAUCAGCUGGGCGGCGUACCACGGCGAGCAUGGCCCAGCGGCAGUGGUAGACCUCGGACUCCUUGAACCGCUCGAAGUUCUCCGGCACGGUGGCGAGGCCGAGGGGGUCGAAGCCGAAGUCCCUGGGUAAAUUAAAGGCAUCGUCAGGUCAGAGAAUCUGCAGAGCACGCCGCUCCUCGACGCCGCCGCCGCUAGCUUACCCGGGGGAGGAGCCGUCGAGGUGGGCGGGGCGGGGCUGGCCGGGCAUCCACUCGGCGGACAUGGUGACGCGGCCGGAGGUGGUGGCGUUGGCGCAGAACGGCAGCCGGCCGGAGCGCGACGACGGCGCCAGCAGGCUGGGCACGCCCACGGCGCUGCAGCUCCGGAGCCCGCUCGACG